UCCGAAGGGGGCUAGCGUUGUUCGGAAUUACUGGGCGUAAAGGGCGCGUAGGCGGCGUGUCAAGUCAGGCGUGAAAGCCCCGGGCUCAACCUGGGAACCGCGCUUGAGACUGGCAUGCUCGAGUUCGGGAGAGGAUGGUGGAAUUCCCAGUGUAGAGGUGAAAUGCGUAGAUAUCGGGAGGAACACCUGUGGCGAAGGCGACCCCCUGGUUGGAUACUGACGCUGAGACGCGAAAGCGUGGGGAGCAAACAGG
rnacentral:rRNA from 1 species